UAUUUUUAGGGUUCCGUAGCCAACUGGCAAAAAACGGAACCCUUAUGGAUUCGUCAUGUCUGUCUGUGUGUCCGUCCGUAUGUCCAGCCACCUUUUUCCGAAACUAUAAGAACUAUACUGUUGAAACUUGGUAAGUAGAUGUAUUCUGUGAACCGCAUUAAGAUUUUCACACAAAAAUAGAAAAAAAAAACAAUAAAUUUUGGGGAUGUACAUUACCAUGCAAACUUCCACCGAAAAUUGGUUUGAACAAGAUCUAGUGAGUAGUUUUUUUUAAUACGUCAUAAA